CCAUUUCCUCCUUUUGGUCUAAGUGCAGUUUCAAAGUCCCAACAUUCAAUAUGGCAAUCUUGGUUUCUUGCUCCUCAUUUCUUCUACACUUCCUGUCCCUCUUUCUUGCAUUCAACCUUGCAAAUUCUGAACCAUUCCUCGGCGUGAACUAUGGACAAGUCGCCGACAAUCUUCCACCACCGUCAGCCACCGCGAAACUACUACAAUCAACUUCAAUAGAAAAAGUCCGAUUAUACGGAACCGAUCCAGCCAUAAUCAAAGCACUAGCCAACACCGGAAUCGGAAUCGUAAUCGGAGCUGCAAACGGCGACAUUCCAUCACUCGCAUCCGAUCCAAAUUUCGCAAAAACAUGGAUAAACUCCAACGUUAUUCCCUAUUAUCCCGCCAGCAACAUCAUCCUGAUAACCGUCGGAAACGAAGUCAUAACUUCAAACGACACGAAUCUCGUGAACCAGAUGUUGCCGGCGAUACAGAACGUGCAAAACGCACUUGAUUCCGUUUCUCUAAGUGGAAAAAUUAAGGUCUCAACGGUUCAUUCUAUGGCGGUUUUAAAGGAUUCCGAACCUCCUUCUGCUGGAAGAUUUCAUCCUGAAUAUAGUGUCGUUUUGCAGAGUUUGUUGUCGUUUAAUAAGGAUACUGGUUCUCCUUUUGCGAUUAACCCUUACCCUUACUUUGCUUACAAAAGUGACCCUGGAAGAGCUGAUAAUUUGGCUUUUUGCCUUUUUCAACCUAACUCGGGCCGAGUUGACUCAAACACUAAACUCAAUUACAUGAAUAUGUUUGAUGCUCAGGUGGAUGCUGUUCGAUCUGCGUUAGAUUCUAUGGGUUUUAAGGACAUUGAGAUUGUGGUUGCGGAGACGGGGUGGCCCUACAAAGGAGACAACGAUGAGGCUGGACCGAGUCUUGAGAAUGCGAAGGCUUACAACGGUAAUUUGAUUUCGCACCUCCGAUCCAAGGUCGGGACCCCAUUGAUGCCCGGGAAAUCCGUGGACACAUACAUUUUUGCCUUGUAUGAUGAGGACUUGAAGCCUGGAGCUGCUUCUGAGAGAGCCUUUGGCCUUUACAACCCUGAUCAAUCCAUGAUCUACGACGUCGGCCUCUCUAAGCAGCAGAGUACCAGUCCUACUCCUACUACUAGCCCCAUGGUGGCCCCAACUCCGGAAGUAUCGAAAUCUCCAGUGAUUCCAGCACCAACAGGCCCAAGUGGUACACCAAAAGGCCAUAGUCCUACACCAAAUAAAGCGGAAUACGAAGCCAGCAUUUUGCAAUCAUUAAUAAUGCUCGCACUUUUCAUCUUAAUGUUGUUCUAGUAGUAUUUGACAUUAUGUAUUUCUUAAUUUGAUUGAAGAUUAAUCCAAAUGUGUCAAAAUCUCCUACGAAUUCGACGCCGAAAGUUUCAAGUCCAACAAAACCGAAUAAUAGUAAUAUAGCAUGGUGUGUGCCUAAACCAGGAGUAACUGAUGCACAACUUCAGGCAAAUUUGGAUUAUGCUUGUGGGCAGGGGAUUGAUUGUAGCUUAAUCCAACCGGGAGGAGCUUGUUUCGAACCUAACACAUUAGCGAACCAUGCUGCAUAUGCCAUGAAUCUCUUCUAUCACACUGUUGGGCAAAAUCCAUUAACUUGUGAUUUCUCACAAACAGCCACACUAACAACAAAUAACCCAAGCUAUAAUAGUUGCAUUUACGCCGGAGGAAAUGUCUAACCUAAAAAACAACAAAGUAGAUAAAGGAUGGUGCUUUUUGUUGUUUAAACUAUUGUUCUUAAUCGUUAAGAAAUGUUCUGAUUUUGAGAGUGCUCUUAAAUAGAAGAGUGGUGCAUGUAUGGUGGAGGAUCUUCCUCUAUUACAACUGUUAACUUUAUAAUAUCUUUGUUAGAAUCAAGUUGUUGUAUUGUUGACGUAUGGUGUGUGUUUGUCGUGAAGUGUUGAGUCAUUAUCGGAAAUCCUAGAGUCCGUGUUAAUUUACAGGCUCAAAUAAAUUGAAGUUUUUUUCUUCUUCUUAAA